CAAAAGUUAAAAAUGUGUAUGUGACUUACAUUACAUUUCUUUUGGAAAGCGUUAAUAUAGAAAGUCAGAUCUGGCUGGGCACGGAGCCUCAUGCCUGUAAUCCUAGUACUUUGGGAGGCUGAGGUGAGUGGGUCACUUGAGGUCAGGAGUUUGAGGCCAGCCUAGCCAACAUGGUAAAACCCCAUCUCUACUAAAAAUACAAAAAUUAGCUGGGCAUGGUGGCACCAGCAAUUCCAGCUGUUCCAGAGGCUGAGGCAGGAGAAUCACUUGAACCUGGGAGGCAGAGGUUGCACUGAUCAGAGAUCGUGACAUUGCACUCCAUCCUGGGUGACAGAGCGGAACUCAAUCUCAAAAAAAAAAAAAAAAAAAAAAAAAGUCAAUUCUUAGGAAAAUAACUCUCAGGUGUUUUGUUUUUGUUUUGUUUGUUUGUUUGUUUUUGAGAUAGAGUCUCGCUCUGUCACCCAGGUUGGAGUAUAGCGGCACGAUCUCAGCUCACUGCAACCUCUGCCUCCUGGGUUCAAAUGAUCCUCCUGCCUCAGCCUCCCAAAGUGCUGGGAUUACCGGUGUGAGCCACCACGCCCAGGCUCACAUGUUCUUUACUAUCUAGACUCAGAUAGAAUCGGAUGUGCUCAUUCUAACAUAUUAGUCUCCAACUGUGAAACACUAGGCAAAACAAGGAUGAACACAAUUUUGAAUGUCAGAAAGUUCUUCUCUUCAAGUUCUAUAAUAUGGAAGACUGCCUCUUUUUACCUCAUCAUGAGGCUGUCAUGAUCAUAUUCCUUGUCUAAAAAUCAGGCAUUCAUAGAAAUGCGUGAGCCUCCCUUUCUCGUGGCUCCUUCCUCCACUUGCGCCACCCCUCUUUAUUUGGAACUUUCUUUCUGUUCACAGGAACUCACUUUAUUUAUUAGAAAGUGUUUCUCGAGGUCCUGUUGGGCAUCUGUUCAAAAGGCCCCCAGGUAAAAAGUACACUGGAUGCACACUAACCGACUCUUCUGUUUUGGUUGAUUAGCCUCUCAGAAAAAGAAUGCCAAUCCUUAAAAGGAAACACGUGGUCCAUCUAUUCAAAUCAAAACCAUUGUGAGAAUUCAGCAGUCCUGCUGUCUCUCCUCAAACCACACAAGGCUCUUUCUGCCUCUAGAAAGGAAGUUCCAAGGGUAAACAAGGACAGGCUUUGCAGGUACAGCAGUAAAAGAAAUUGUUCCAAUGAAGAUUUGAUGAAGGCAAAGAAGCUGCAACACCUUUCAGACCUUUGGGCUCACACCAUUAAUACCUCUGAUCUUGAAGACAAACGACAAUUUGGGUUCAGCAGGUACAUAGAAGUUGCCAGCUUUUCUUGCCAUCCUCGCCAUUCAAAUUUCAGUUCUGUACAUCUGCCUAUAUUCCUUGUGAUAGUGCUUCGCUUUUUCUUAGAUAAGCUUCCACCUUUUGCCUUUUGA
rnacentral:lncRNA from 1 species